UGACUCCAGGGCCCUGGGAUCAUGACCUGAGCCGAAGGCAGAUGCCUAACGACUGAGCCACCCAGGCGCCCCCAGCAUGAUUUUUUGAGGGGCACGGUGACUAUAUUGACCUCACCCAUUGCCUUUGAUUCCGUAGUGCUUGUUAGAGCCUGCUGCUUCCUGAGAUACACUACCUACGUGUGUCUGCUUACAGGGUGGGGGCGUCUUCAGAGAUACAUUCUGGACUCUAUGGGGCUGGGGAGGUGACUUGAGAGAUUCUGCCAGAGAAGGCGUUGUUUAUUUCUAAAGCCACAAGAAACCGAAGGUUCAUCCGUUUAAUUUAGUUAAAGGUGGUUGUUGUGGUCAGAUGUCCGCAGGACCUGCUCCCCCUCCCUGAAAGCUGUUACCACUGUGUUAGGUGACCUGACCCCACCACCGCCAGCGCGCAGACUCCUCACCGCAGUGUUCCCAUGGGGUGUGCCGUUCGACAUCUGGGCGAGCAGCAGGCCCGCACCCCGAGGCUGGCCGUCCUCUCGUUCUGUGUUUGCACUGAUGCAUGUGACAUGCUGAGAUCCAGGGUUUAACUUCUGCCACACACCGGCUCGUUCUCUGUGAAGUUCGGCAGACGGCAGCCUAGGUAGGACACCCAGUGGGUUUGGAGGGUGCAACACGGAUCGGGUGGUUCUCGGGGGAAACUUGGAAGUCUCACUGAUGCUCUUCUGCAUUCCCGAGGACCUCUCUGUUGCGUUUGUAUGGCAUUAAUGCCUUGAAGAAACACUGAAAACUCCCCGAAGUCUGGCCACAUGGCUGUAUCUUUUCUGCAUCAGGUUAUAUAUGCUGAUGACUUUUUAGGACCGGAUGGCCCUCCCUUGUACGGAUGGGCCUUUAGCUUCUCGUAAUUAGCAGUGGUGCAGUAGUGAACAUGGUAUCUGUGGGCUCCAUUUCUGAAGGUAAAAGUGGUCUGUUCAAAGGAAUUCAUAUUUAAAAUAUUAAAGUAAAUUAUUAAUGGGUCCAACCAAAGGACCUUCUGCAAAGUACCGGUUAAUGAAAGCAUCCCCAGGGUUCUCCCUACUUCUGAGCCAGUGUCGGGAACCUGGACCAUUGCAGGCAGGGUGAUCUUACCAUUUUCAUUUGCUUUUUGCCCCCUUGUCUGAAGGAAGAAUCUUUGCUCGAAAUCCUGUGGAUUUGAAUGCUGACUCCACCACUUAACUGGGUGUGAGGACCUGGGUUGGGGUUGUGCCACUGUGAGCUGCCAGCAGUGUUUAGGGCUCCCGAUCACGUACAGACCUGCUUCUGAGAGCUUAAAGGAGUCUUAGGUUGGAUCCAGCUUCCGCAGCGGGCAGGCUUAGCAGGCUGAGAGCAGUCCUGCAGCUGACGGAGAAAGAAGGCUCCGGUCCUCGGGGCAGCCUGCCGCCACCGUUCUCUGGGCUGCUCUCAGCCACCUGGGCCAGUGGACUCCUCACCCUGAUGUCCUCCAGAAACCCACCAAGGUGCGUGAGAAAAAGAAUCACAAAACAAGACUCAAUCAAGAGAGUGUCACAAUCAAGAGAAUUGACUAUGACUUUGGUCAGGUUACUAACUUCUAAGUUUUCUCAUCUGUACAAGAGAAUGAACAACAGUAUCUUUCCUACGGCAAAAACUGCUCGUUAUGUCCAAAGAUCCUUUCUCCUUUGAUUUUUAGCUGGGGGCAUAUGGCUGUACCAAAUAAUGACUAUACUUCCCAGCCUGCUUUGCAGCUACAGUCAUAGAGCUGUGUAACCAUGUGACCAAGUUCUGGCCAAUGGGGCAUCGGUAAAAACGGAAUGAAAACUUUUGCAUGGAGGGUGGGGUGUUGUCUUUCUCCUCUUUCCUCCUUUCCCUGAGUUGGAUUAUAGGCGUAAUGAGUGGAGCUGGAGCAGCCCUCUGGAACAUGAGGUCCUUUUAGGAAUGGAGAAUGGAAGACAUGCCUAGAAGACCCCCAAGACAGAAGAAAGUCAUUUCCCUGACACCGUGGAGCUGCCACACCAGCCCUGGACCGUUUCAUCUCAGAUUUUUAUGUCACAGAAGUGACACUAAGCCACUGUCCUUUUAGGCUUCUUUAACUUGUAAAAUGAAUUUAGUCUUAAUAAAUGCAUGACGUCAUAGAUUUCUUGGGGGAGAUUCAAUGAGCUAUUGUAUACAACUUGCCUAUCACAAUACCUGGCAAAGUGUAAACACUCAGGAAGUGUAAACUCCUUAUUAGUACCUUCUGUAGUGUUCAGGUAGAAUAACUAUCCCUCCUCUCCAGUGAGAGCUCCAGGGAGGAGUGCUUCUGCAAAGAAAAAAAAAAACGAUCGAGAUUGUGCUGUUAACUUCUUUUUGGUUCCAAACAAUUG